AGCAGUCGCCGCGGUAAUACGAAGGGGGCUAGCGUUGUUCGGAUUUACUGGGCGUAAAGCGCACGUAGGCGGACUUUUAAGUCAGGGGUGAAAUCCCGGGGCUCAACCCCGGAACUGCCUUUGAUACUGGAAGUCUUGAGUAUGGUAGAGGUGAGUGGAAUUCCGAGUGUAGAGGUGAAAUUCGUAGAUAUUCGGAGGAACACCAGUGGCGAAGGCGGCUCACUGGACCAUUACUGACGCUGAGGUGCGAAAGCGUGGGGAGCAAACAGGAUUAGAUACCCCUGUAGUCCCUGUCUCUUAUAC
rnacentral:rRNA from 1 species